rnacentral:rRNA from 2 species
GACGAAGUCUGACGGAGCAACGCCGCGUGAGUGAGGAAGGCCUUCGGGUCGUAAAGCUCUGUUGUGAGGGAAGAAGCGGUACCGUUCGAAUAGGGCGGUACCUUGACGGUACCUCACCAGAAAGCCACGGCUAACUACGUGCCAGCAGCCGCGGUAAUACGUAGGUGGCAAGCGUUGUCCGGAAUUAUUGGGCGUAAAGCGCGCGCAGGCGGCUUCUUAAGUCUGAUGUGAAAUCUCGGGGCUCAACCCCGAGCGGCCAUUGGAAACUGGGGAGCUUGAGUGCAGAAGAGGAGAGUGGAAUUCCACGUGUAGCGGUGAAAUGCGUAGAGAUGUGGAGGAACACCAGUGGCGAAGGCGACUCUCUGGUCUGUAACUGACGCUGAGGCGCGAAAGCGUGGGGAGCAAACAGGAUUAGAUACCCUGGUAGUCCACGCCGUAAACGAUGAGUGCUAGGUGUUAGGGGUUUCGAUGCCCGUAGUGCCGAAGUUAACACAUUAAGCACUCCGCCUGGGGAGUACGGCCGCAAGGCUGAAACUCAAAGGAAUUGACGGGGACCCGCACAAGCAGUGGAGCAUGUGGUUUAAUUCGAAGCAACGCGAAGAACCUUACCAGGUCUUGACAUCCUUUGACCACCCAAGAGAUUGGGCUUCCCCUUCGGGGGCAAAGUGACAGGUGGUGCAUGGUUGUCGUCAGCUCGUGUCGUGAGAUGUUGGGUUAAGUCCCGCAACGAGCGCAACCCUUGAUCUUAGUUGCCAGCAUUGAGUUGGGCACUCUAAGGUGACUGCCGGUGACAAACCGGAGGAAGGUGGGGAUGACGUCAAAUCAUCAUGCCCCUUA